rnacentral:rRNA from 1 species
AGACACGGCCCAGACUCCUACGGGAGGCAGCAGUAGGGAAUCUUCCGCAAUGGACGAAAGUCUGACGGAGCAACGCCGCGUGAGUGAUGAAGGUUUUCGGAUCGUAAAACUCUGUUGUCAGGGAAGAACAAGUGCCGGAGUAACUGCCGGCACCUUGACGGUACCUGACCAGAAAGCCACGGCUAACUACGUGCCAGCAGCCGCGGUAAUACGUAGGUGGCAAGCGUUGUCCGGAAUUAUUGGGCGUAAAGCGCGCGCAGGCGGUCUCUUAAGUCUGAUGUGAAAGCCCACGGCUCAACCGUGGAGGGUCAUUGGAAACUGGGGGACUUGAGUGCAGAAGAGGAAAGUGGAAUUCCACGUGUAGCGGUGAAAUGCGUAGAGAUGUGGAGGAACACCAGUGGCGAAGGCGACUUUCUGGUCUGUAACUGACGCUGAGGCGCAAAAGCGUGGGGAGCAAACAGGAUUAGAUACCCUGGUAGUCCACGCCGUAAAC